AUGAACGCUAGCGGCAGGCUUAACACAUGCAAGUCGAGGGGCAGCGCGGGGCGGCAACGUCCUGGCGGCGACCGGCGGAAGGGUGCGUAACGCGUGAGCGACAUGCCCGUUGCCCGGGGACAACCGGUGGAAACGCCGACUAAUCCCCGAUGGGACGGAGGCCCUCAUGGGUCUCUGUUGAAAGUUACGGCGGCGACGGAUUGGCUCGCGUCCGAUUAGCUAGUUGGCGGGGUAACGGCCCACCAAGGCUACGAUCGGUAGGGGUUCUGAGAGGAAGGUCCCCCACAAUGGAACUGAGACACGGUCCAUACUCCUACGGGAGGCAGCAGUGAGGAAUAUUGGUCAAUGGGCGGAAGCCUGAACCAGCCAUGCCGCGUGCGGGAAGGAGGCCCUAUGGGCUGUGAACCGCUUUUGCCUGGGGGCAAUAAGGGCGUCGCGCACGUCCGAUGAGAGUACCAGGGGAAUAAGCAUCGGCUAACUCCGUGCCAGCAGCCGCGGUAAUACGGGGGAUGCGAGCGUUAUCCGGAUUCAUUGGGUUUAAAGGGUGCGUAGGCUGUGCGUCAAGUCAGGGGUGAAAUUCCGGGGCUCAACUCCGGGGCUGCCCUUGAUACUGUCGCGCUGGAGUGCGGAUGCCGCCGGAGGAAUGAGUGGUGUAGCGGUGAAAUGCUUAGAUAUCACUCAGAACACCGAUUGCGAAGGCAUCUGGCGAAUCCGUAACUGACGCUGAGGCACGAAAGCGUGGGGAUAGAACAGGAUUAGAUACCCUGGUAUUCCACGCCGUAAACGAUGAUGGCUAACCGCCGGCGACACACUGUCGGUGGCCAAGCGAAAGCGAUAAGCCAUCCACCUGGGGAGUACGUCGGCAACGAUGAAACUCAAAGGAAUUGACGGGGGCCCGCACAAGCGGUGGAGUAUGUGGUUUAAUUCGAAGCAACGCGAAGAACCUUACCAGGCCUUGACAUCCCUUGCAGAGGUAUAGAGAUAUAUCCGAGGUUAUCAAGGAGACAGGUGGUGCAUGGUUGUCGUCAGCUCGUGUCGUGAGAUGUUGGGUUAAGUCCCGCAACGAGCGCAACCCUUGUCUUUAGUUACUAACAUCAAGUUGAGGACUCUAGAGAGACUGCCGGUGAUAAACCGGAGGAAGGUGGGGAUGACGUCAAAUCAGCACGGCCCUUACGUCCGGGGCGACACACGUGUUACAAUGGCGGCCACAGAGGGAAGCUACCCGGCGACGGGAUGCGGAUCUCGAAAAGCCGUCCCAGUUCGGACUGGAGUCUGCAACCCGACUCCACGAAGUUGGAUUCGCUAGUAAUCGCGCAUCAGCCAUGGCGCGGUGAAUACGUUCCCGGGCCUUGUACACACCGCCCGUCAAGCCAUGGAAGCCGCGGGCGCCUGAAGUCCGUGACCGAGAGGAGCGGCCUAGGGCGAAAGUGGUAACUGGGGCU
rnacentral:rRNA from 1 species